ACAGCAGUCGCCGCGGUAAUACGAAGGGGGCUAGCGUUGCUCGGAAUGACUGGGCAUAAAGGGCGCGUAGGCGGCAUGUACAGUCAGACGUGAAAUUCCUGGGCUUAACCUGGGGGCUGCGUUUGAUACGUGCAGGCUAGAGUGGGGAAGAGGGUUGUGGAAUUCCCAGUGUAGAGGUGGAAUUCGUAGAUAUUGGGAAGAACACCGGUGGCGAAGGCGGCAACCUGGUCCUUGACUGACGCUGAGGCGCGAAAGCGUGGGGAGCAAACAGGAUUAGAUACCCGUGUAGUCCCUGUCUCUUAUAC
rnacentral:rRNA from 1 species